GAUGAACGCUGGCGGCGUGCUUAACACAUGCAAGUCGAACGGAAAGGCUCCUGCUUACAGGGGUACUCGAGUGGCGAACGGGUGAGUAACACGUGGGUGAUCUGCCCUGCACUUCGGGAUAAGCCUGGGAAACUGGGUCUAAUACCGGAUAGGACCACAUUUUGGAUGGUGUGGUGGAAAGUUUUUCGGUGUGGGAUGAGCUCGCGGCCUAUCAGCUUGUUGGUGGGGUAAUGGCCUACCAAGGCGUCGACGGGUAGCCGGCCUGUGAGGGUGUACGGCGACAUUGGGACUGAGAUACGGCGCAGACUCCUACGGGGGGCAGCAGUGGGGAAUAUUGCACAAUGGGGGCAAGCCUGAUGCAGCGACGCCGCGUGGGGGAUGACGGCCUUCGGGUUGUAAACUCCUUUCGCUAGGGACGAAGCGUUUUUGUGACGGUACCUGGAGAAGAAGCACCGGCUAACUACGUG
rnacentral:rRNA from 1 species